rnacentral:rRNA from 1 species
UACGUAGGGUGCGAGCGUUGUCCGGAAUUAUUGGGCGUAAAGGGCUCGUAGGCGGUCUGUUGCGUCGGUAGUGAAAACUCAGGGCUUAACCCUGAGCCUGCUUCCGAUACGGGCAGACUAGAGGUAUGCAGGGGAGAACGGAAUUCCUGGUGUAGCGGUGAAAUGCGCAGAUAUCAGGAGGAACACCGGUGGCGAAGGCGGGUCUCUGGGCCGAUACUGACGCUGAGGAGCGAAAGCGUGGGGAGCGAACAGG